AUUGAACGCUGGCGGCAGGCCUAACACAUGCAAGUCGAACGGUAACAGGAAGCAGCUUGCUGCUUUGCUGACGAGUGGCGGACGGGUGAGUAAUGUCUGGGAAACUGCCUGAUGGAGGGGGAUAACUACUGGAAACGGUAGCUAAUACCGCAUAACGUCGCAAGACCAAAGAGGGGGACCUUCUGGCCUCUUGCCCUCGGGUAUGCCCAGAUGGGAUUAGCUAGUAGGUGGGGUAACGGCUCACCUAGGCGACGAUCCGUAGCUGGUCUGAGAGGAUGACCAGCCACACUGGAACUGAGACACGGUCCAGACUCCUACGGGAGGCAGCAGUGGGGAAUAUUGGACAAUGGGCGCAAGCCUGAUGCAGCCAUGCCGCGUGUAUGAAGAAGGCCUUCGGGUUGUAAAGUACUUUCAGCGGGGAGGAAGGGAGUAAAGUUAAUACCCCGGCGUAUUGACGGUACCCGAAGAAGAAGCACCGGCUAACUCCGUG
rnacentral:rRNA from 1 species